AAUUGUGGUUAGUGACAAUUAUGAUUUCCAUUGUAGCCAAUUCAAUUGCAGUAAUUUGAUUACAGAUUUUUUGGUAAUUCCGUUACCAAUCUGGUAACAGAAUUACGAGUUUUAAUCACUUAGUAAUUCACAAACAUAGCUGAUAUCAGACAAAUAACUAGAAACAAUUAUUAGCUCUACCGUUACAUCUGCUCCUGCCACACCUUCUACUGCUCAUCCUGUGUCUGCUUGACCUGCUACCACUCCCACAGUGCUCGCCCUCUCUCUCUCGCCCUCUCUCUCUCACCCUCUCUCGCUGUGUGUGAUUGUGUGGGAGACAGGUGUGCUGGAGUCAGAGCAGAACCCCACCAGGUGCAACCUGUUCCAUAAUCAAGACCUCUACAAAUACUCAGUCCUGCCACUUCCACCCUGGCAGAUCGUAAUCUCUGCUCAGCCCACGUCUCCUCAUACUGCUACUCUGCCCUGGAUUCCCCACUCUACUGGAUUCCCCUCCGGACCUGCCUACCCUGUCCCAAACCCUCUCGCUCCAGCCUCAGUCUCCACACCUGGUUUCCUGCAACCCGCCCAAGCUUCCCGUGGCCUGCACUCCACCUUCCCCCUGUGUUUCAAUAAAUACCUUGGUUACCUCAUC
rnacentral:lncRNA from 1 species